rnacentral:lncRNA from 1 species
AUUUACACAAUGGAACACUACUACUCAGCUAUUAGAAACAAGGACAUCAUGAAAUUCACAGGCAAAUGGAUAGAACUAGAAAAUAUCAUCCUGGGUGAGGUAACCCAGACCCAAAGGACAUGCAUAGUAUGUGCUCACUUAUAAAUAGAUAUUAGCCAAAGAAAUAUACGGGAUACACACGCAAAUAAUUCUUUCCAUGCUAAGAUUUUGUGUGACUUGGGCUUUCUCUCCUGCAUGUUGUCACAGUCUCUGUGACAUAUGUGCAGCUUCCCUGCUCUGUCUGAAAAAUUCUCUCCUUGUAUUUAUCUACUUUUCUGGGACCUGCCAUCUCUUGGCCUCCUGUUCUGACGUGAUCCCUGAGUCCCAGGAUGAUGGGUGUGAUUCAGACACCCCAUUUAGCCUGCAGCAUUCUAAAGGCUCUCUUACAGUGCCAGCUGUGGGUCUCUGAGUUGAUCACCAUUCACAGCAAAACGCAGCUUCCCUGGUGAUGGUUGAGAGUAUGUGUGGAUUUUUCUUUUUUAAAUCCCAUGAAUUACAGUAACAUGUUCCAGUGAGGAGAAAGCUCUCAUUCACUGAAGCCCUGGGUGUGCAGGCAUGCGCAGAGACCCAUGACCAAGGCAACUUACAAAAGGAAGCACUUAACUGAGCUCUUUCAAAGGGUUGGAGCACAUGAUGACAGAGUAAAGGCAUGGCAGAGGGAACAUCUUGUUUCACAAGCAGGAAACUGAGGCAUACUAGAAAUAGUGUGAGUCUUUAGAAACCCCAAAGCCUGCCCUUCCUCCUAAUCUUUUGCCAACACUUCCACCAGCUAGGGAGCAAGUACUCAGACACAUGAGCCUAUGAGAGCCAUUCUCACUCAGAACAUCACCCUUCUUCUACUCAUAUCUUCCUGGAUGCUGGAGCAAAGACCCCCAUUUACCCUGUAUGGUUCUCAGAUAACCUGGACACCAACAGGAGACCCAGGUGGUACCAGACAGAACAGCUGCAGCCUUUAUGUGCAAAAUUGUAACUAACAUAACUCAUCCAUCUUUUAGAAUAAUAUAAUCUAUCCUGGCCAGGCUGACUGAGGUGGGUUUUUUGUUUUGUUUGUUUGUUUGUUUGUUUGUUUGUUUAACCAGGGCUAUAAGGAAUUUCUAGGAAUUUAACCUGAGGACAUUAGUUUACAAAACUCACUUACUUACUAGGUUAAAGGGGAGGAAACCACUCAUGUGGCCAUUUCACCACAUACAGAGAAUUCUUGAUGGACUUUAACAUUCACUCAAGAUGGAUCUCCUCAGGAAAUCAGACAGGAGGAAGCCUCCACAGAACCUCCACCAAAGCAUUUAACAAGUGUUCAUUUGGAGGGAGACUGGCAUGGAGAUGGACCAGUGCCCCAGAUUCUAGUCAGAGGGAAGGAGCCUAAGAUAUGGAAAGGGAACCAGGCAUUGUGGUGUACACCUUCAAUUCUAGUGCUUGGAAGGCAGAAGUAGGCAGACCUCUGUGAGUUCAAGGCCAGGCUAGUCUACAUAAGGAGUUCCAGGAGGCUGCAUAGUGAGAGACUCUCUCAAAGUUUAAAAAAAAUCCAAGACCUCCCCCCCAAAAAUAUGAAGUUCAUGCCCCAGGUCACUUAUAGAGCCCUGAGAUUGAGACACUAAGGCACCUGAGUACCUGAGAUGCACAUCCAGGCUAGUAUUGUUCACAUCAGACGCCCCACCUCCCCCACCUACGGUCUUAGACUACCUAGAGAACACAACACCCACCCUUCCCAUUUCAUCUCAGAGCUCUUCUGAAUAGUGUCAGAGCUUCCUGUCAUGGUUGCCCACAGUGCGGAACCCUGUGCAUCCUGCAUCAGGAGCAGAGACUCAGACUACACAUUCUACAGUUGGUAGUGAGGUGGUGGACAGGCUGGACCUUCCUGGUUGGCUCGAGGAGAGAAGGCAGCCUGCUUUGCUUUGUCUGAGACUCUCAUUCUGCAGUGCAGUCAUUCUGUGCCAAAUGCUUUCCUGUUGGUAAUGAGCUUCUUAGCUGUUAAAGCAUUUGGAGAAUUUAAAAAGCAUGAAAUGAAAAGCUUGGGAAGAAACGAUUCCUAAGGAGAGUCCGCGGUGUGCAUCUCAUUCCGUGAACAAUUUAGUUUCCUUUUGUGAAAUAGGACUAGUAGGACCGUGUGGCAAAGACGGGCAGAUUUAAACAGGACAGGCUUACUCAGAAAGAAGGAGUAACCUCGGGCUAACGGUCCCUGCUGUAUUCGCAGCUCAGUGUCACUUUCCAAGCCCAGCAAGGUGUCCUCCUGUGCUUCGCUGCCUGUGUGCCCCAGCCACUCCGUUGGUUGAUUCUGCCUGAGUUUUCACAUUGCAACUCUGCCACCCAGCACCACUGCUCUUAGGCACCUUGAUAUCAGAAGCAGAGAUGGUGUUGCUAUUAGCCGACAUUCACUGAGCAGGCUCUAAGUCCAGUGCACCGCGUGCAGUGCUUGGAGCUUAGAGACACUCAAAGACAUUUCUGUUCCCAGGUGAGAGGCUCAGGAGCAGACUUCUGUAAAGCACUGUUACUCGGGUCUCAGGGUCUUUCAGAGAAUCCAAUCAAGAGGCUCAGAAGUUUAAGCAGAAAUGUAUUUAGCAAAGCAAAACACGGAACUCAAGAGAGAUUGGGGUAGGCUGUCCCGAAGCAGAGAUGAUCAGCACAGAGGGUUCUGAGUUGUGGGUUUAAAAGACAUGGUUUUUAAAAGUUAUUUGUUUGUUUGUUUGUUUAUUUUUUAUGAAAGUUUAUGGGGUGGGUAGUGUAGUUAUGCAUGAGAUGUCUCAAAAUACAGAUAUAUCAGAUCUCCCUUUUAGGACAUUUGCCAUAAGUCUGCGGGAAUGGAUAAGAGA